GACGUAGGGCGCGAGCGUUGUCCGGAUUUAUUGGGCGGAAAGAGCUCGUAGGCGGCUUGUCGCGUCGGUUGUGAAAGCCCGGGGCUUAACCCCGGGUCUGCAGUCGAUACGGGCAGGCUAGAGUUCGGUAGGGGAGACUGGAAUUCCUAGUGUAGGGGUGAAAUCCGUAGAUAUUAGGAGGAAUACCGGUGGCGAAAGCGACUGUCUGGCUGGUUACUGACGCUGUUGCACGAAAGCGUGGGGAGCAAACAGG
rnacentral:rRNA from 1 species